CAGUCGCCGCGGUAAUACGUAGGGUGCAAGCGUUAAUCGGAAUUACUGGGCGUAAAGCGUGCGCAGGCGGUUAUAUAAGACAGAUGUGAAAUCCCCGGGCUCAACCUGGGAACUGCAUUUGUGACUGUAUAGCUAGAGUACGGCAGAGGGGGAUGGAAUUCCGCGUGUAGCAGUGAAAUGCGUAGAUAUGCGGAGGAACACCGAUGGCGAAGGCAAUCCCCUGGGCCUGUACUGACGCUCAUGCACGAAAGCGUGGGGAGCAAACAGGAUUAGAUACCCGAGUAGUCCCUGUCUCUUAUAU
rnacentral:rRNA from 1 species